UACGAAGGGGGCUAGCGUUGCUCGGAAUCACUGGGCGUAAAGGGUGCGUAGGCGGGUCUUUAAGUCAGGGGUGAAAUCCUGGAGCUCAACUCCAGAACUGCCUUUGACUACUGAAGAUCUUGAGUUCGGGAGAGGUGAGUGGAACUGCGAGUGUAGAGGUGAAAAUUCGUAGAUAUUCGGCAAGAACACCAGUGGCGAAGGCGGCUCACUGGCCCGAUACUGACGCUGAUGCACGAAAGCGUGGGGAGCAAACAGG
rnacentral:rRNA from 1 species